rnacentral:rRNA from 1 species
CCCUUAGACGUUCUGGGCCGCACGCGCGCUACACUGACGAAGGCAACGAGCUUUCCUUUACCGAAAGGUACGGGUAAUCUUUUGAAACUUCGUCGUGCUGGGGAUAGAUCCUUGCAAUUUUUGAUCUUAAACGAGGAAUGCCUAGUAAGCGCAAGUCAUCAACUUGCGUUGAUUACGUCCCUGCCCUUUGUACACACCGCCCGUCGCUACUACCGAUUGAAUGGUGUAGUGAGGCCUUCGGAUCCGCGACUCGUUUGUGGAGAAGUUGGACAAACUCAGUCAUUUAGAGGAAGUAAAAGUCGUAACA